rnacentral:rRNA from 1 species
AGGUAAUAUAUCGGAACGGUGCCCAGUAGUGGGGGAUAACUGCUCGAAAGAGCAGCUAAUACCGCAUACAACCUGAGGGUGAAAGGGGGGGAUCGCAAGACCUCUCGCUAUUGGAGCGGCCGAUAUCAGAUUAGCUAGUUGGUGGGGUAAAGGCCUACCCAAGGCAACGAUCUGUAGUUGGUCUGAGAGGACGACCAGCCACACUGGGACUGAGACACGGCCCAGACUCCUACGGGAGGCAGCAGUGGGGAAUUUUUGGACAAUGGGCGCAAGCCUGAUCCAGCAAUGCCGCGUGCAGGAAGAAGGCCUUCGGGUUGUAAACUGCUUUUGUCAGGGAAGAAAUCCUCUAGGUUAAUACCCUUGGGGGGAUGACGGUACCUGAAGAAUAAGCACCGGCUAACUACGUG